ACCCGGAUCGUAUAAAGGCAUUACCCCUGAUUCUGGAUCAGGUGAUUGAGGUUCGAAUCCUUGUCCGGGUGC
rnacentral:tRNA from 2 species